UACGGGGGGGGGCAAGCGUUGUUCGGAAUUACUGGGCGUAAAGGGCUCGUAGGCGGCCAACUAAGUCGGAUGUGAAAUCCCCGGGCUCAACCCGGGAACUGCGUCCGAUACUGGCAGGCUUGAAUCCGGGAGAGGGAUGUGGAAUUCCAGGUGUAGCGGUGAAAUGCGUAGAUAUCUGGAGGAACACCGGUGGCGAAGGCGGCAUCCUGGACCGGCAUUGACGCUGAGGCGCGAAAGCCAGGGGAGCAAACGGG
rnacentral:rRNA from 1 species